rnacentral:rRNA from 1 species
UUUAGCAUGGAAUAAUGAAAUAGGACUUCGGUUCUAUUUUGUUGGUUUCUAGGACCUUAGUAAUGAUUGAUAGGGAUAGUUGGGGGUGCUAGUAUUCAGCGGCCAGAGGUGAAAUUCUGGAUUCGCUGAAGACUAACUACUGCGAAAGCAUUCACCAAGGAUGUCUUCUUUAAUCAAGAACGAAAGUUGGGGGAUCGAAGACGAUCAGAUACCGUCGUAGUCUCAACCAUAAACUAUACCGACUAAGGAUCAGUGAGCGUCUUUUUCUGACCUCAUUGGCACUUUAUGAGAAAUCAAAGUCUUUGGGUUCCGGGGGGAGUAUGGUCGCAAGGCUGAAACUUAAAGGAAUUGACGGAAGGGCACCACCAGGAGUGGAGCCUGCGGCUUAAUUUGACUCAACACGGGAAAACUUACCAGGUCCAGACAUAGUGAGGAUUGACAGAUUGAAGAUCUUUCUUGGUUCUAUGGGUGGUGGUGCAUGGCCGUUCCUAGUUGGUGGAGUGAUUUGUCUGGCUAAUUCCGUUAACGAACGAGACCUCGACCUGCUAAAUAGUAGCAUUUACUCUUUGAGUAGAUUGCGACUUCUUAGAGGGACUAUUGUGCGAAUAGCCAAUGGAAGUUCGAGGCAAUAACAGGUCUGAGAUGCCCUUAGAUGUUCUGGGCCGCACGCGCGCUACACUGACGCAUUCAUCAAGUUUACAACCUUGGCCGAGAGGUCUGGGUAAUCUUUUGAAUGUGCGUCGUGAUGGGGAUAGGGCAUUGCAAUA